UACGUAGGGUGCGAGCGUUGUCCGGAAUUAUUGGGCGUAAAGGGCUCGUAGGCGGUUUUUCACGUCGGGAGUGAAAACUCGGGGCUCAACCCCGAGCCUGCUUCCGAUACGGGCAGACUAGAGGUAUGCAGGGGAGAAUGGAAUUCCUGGUGUAGCGGUGAAAUGCGCAGAUAUCAGGAGGAACACCGGUGGCGAAGGCGGUUCUCUGGGCAGUACCUGACGCUGAGGAGCGAAAGUGUGGGGAGCGAACAGG
rnacentral:rRNA from 1 species